rnacentral:lncRNA from 1 species
GGCCUCUCUCUCUCUCUCUCUCUAGCUCGCUCCCUCGUCAGCGAAGAAGAAUGAAUACCUGGGCGGGCUUCUUUCGGGGGGACUCAAUGGUGAGUGGGUCUCAGCUGAUGCAGUGAUAUCGUCCGCCGGCCCUCCCUGCGUUUUCGCCCUUUGGACGACGGCGCAAAAUCCUCCUCCGAAGGGUUCCAACCCACGUGACUGUCGUCGUCUUCGUGCCCUGGCUGCAGGAAGAACGGCAUUCUACACUCCCCGUUCACUCCCUGCUGCGGGCGGGGGAUGACAAGCCUAUGGCAUUCUCG